CUGCUACCUCCUGCCCCAAAUCCCACAUUUUAAAAAACUUCAUUGUUAUUCGGUCCAUUUAUUUUAUUUUAUUCCAUUCUCCCUCCCGCAGGAGCUGGGAAAAAUACAGAGAUAUCCUGAAUGAAAAAUCUGAUACAGAGACUCUGGACUUCAGACUGGGCAAAAGGUUGACCUUCCAACAAGACAAUGACCCCAAGCACAUAACCACUCUUUCAUCGUAUUGGUUAUGUGACCAUGCUGAAUGUCAUUGAUUGGCCCAGACGGAGCCAGGACAUGAACUCAAUCUAACAUUUCUGGAAACCACUGAAAAUGUCCAUCCACCAAUACAACCUGCGAUAGAUAAAUGUCAGAAACUACCCAAAUCCUGUA